CCGAAUCGGAGUUGUAACGAAGGAGUUAUGGUCAAAAGAGUCUCAGUGGCAGAACCGUAAAUAUUUCGAAGUUGAAUUAAUAAAAAGAAAAUCUGUCAGCUCUCCCUCUCUCUCUCUCUCUCUCUCCCUCCCGAUAGUUUCAGAAACCCAUUCGGGCAGCCCCAUUCCAAGCCACCCCCAACGCCUCCUCAAGCCACCCCGACCCUCCGGAACGGACCCAGCAGCACCGGCCAGCUCCCGCCAUCAACCUCAGCCCGUCCGCCGCCCCUGCUGCUGUCUGGAGCCGCUGGAAAACGCAGCAGUUUUGGCCGAUUUUCCAACUUCAGUUUCUCCCUCAUUCGGCCACCAAAUCAGUCGUGUGAGGCAUCAGAGGCCAAACAGAACCACAUGAGGGACCUUCAAGAGGUCCAGCUAGCUCGGACCAGCAGUGAGUGGACCUUUCUUUUUAUUCAUCAUUUUCUGAAUCAGUUUUAUUCAGUGUGAUUUAUUCCUAUGAAUUUAAAGAUUCCUUCUAUACAUUGCUUAGCUGAUUUUGCUAAAGUUAUUUGGACAACAGACUUUGAGAUUUAUGAUUCAGAAAUAUCUAGCUCAGAUUUUAUCAGAAUACAGAGGAUGUCAGAUUUUAUCCAAGACAAUUAUUUUAGACCGCCAUGAAUUAUAGAAAGCAGAGUUUGAGUUUUCUAUCAGAUAAAAAGGGCAGCACAGUUAUAGAUUGAAUAAAGAUUCAGUUAUUCAUCAGAUCUUUCAGAAAUAUUAUGAUAUUUAUAUUUG